UACGGAGGGUGCGAGCGUUGUCCGGAAUCAUUGGGCGUAAAGGGCGCGUAGGCGGUUGACUUAAGCGUGUGGUGAAAGCUCGGGGCUCAACCCCGAGUCGGCCGUGCGAACUGGGUCACUCGAGCAGAUCAGAGGCAGGCGGAAUUCCGGGUGUAGCGGUGGAAUGCGUAGAGAUCCGGAAGAACACCGGUGGCGAAGGCGGCCUGCUGGGAUCUUGCUGACGCUGAGGCGCGACAGCGGUGGGGAGCAAACGAGG
rnacentral:rRNA from 1 species